AUACAGUUAGAUCUCCAUUAUCUUUUUCAGGGAAUCCGAGCCCGAAUUUUAGAAACUCUGGUCAUGCUUGUCCUGCUUGCGCUCCUCAUCCUGGGGAUGGUGUGGGUGGCCUCCGCGCUCGUUGACAAGGACGCCGCGAGCAUGGAGUCUUUGUACGAUCUCUGGGAGUUCUACCUACCCUAUUUAUAUUCCUGUAUAUCUCGGACGGGAUGUUUGUUACUUCUCUUGUGUACCCCUGUUGGCCUUUCCCGCAUGUUCACAGUGAUGGGUCAGUUGCUGGUGAAGCCAACAACUCAGGUCUGAAUGACUCACAGCCUCUUCCCUCGUCCGCUGACCUCCAGCCUGUGCUCCUGCCCCCGCGGCUCGGACUGCACGGUCGCUGCUAAUGGGCUGUGCUCCCAACGGGCCGCGUGCUUUCACUUAGCAGGCGUGUCCGGGGCUUUCUCCUGUCAGUGCCCCCUGCCUGCUGCAGCCGCCUGACCGCCUCCUCAAGGCCUGGCUCUGAUGUUGCUGCACCCACUGCCUACUCUUGAACCUUGCCUCACCUCUUCUUUAAGUUGAGAUAAUCAAGCUCCUUUCUCUGCACUUUUCAUAUUCCCCUUUGUUAGUACCUAUUAAAUUAUUUUGGUUAUA